rnacentral:rRNA from 1 species
CCUACGGGUGGCUGCAGUAGGGAAUCUUUCACAAUGGGCGCAAGCCUGAUGGAGCAACGCCGCGUGCAGGAUGAAGGCCUUCGGGUUGUAAACUUCUUUUAUGAGCGAGAAAUAUUAUGGUAACUUCUUACUAAGGGUCGCCUCACCCCGUGCCAGCAGCCGCGGUCAUACGUAGGAUCCGAGCAUUAUCCGGAGUGACUGGGUGUAAAGAGUUGCGUAGGUGGCAUAAUAAGUAGCGAGUGAAAUCUGGUGGCCCAACCACUCAGACUAUUAGCUAAACUGUUAAGCUCGAGAGCGUUAGGGGUAAACGGAAUUUCUAGUGUAGGAGUGAAAUCCGUAGAUAUUAGAAGGAACACCAAUAGCGUAGGCAGGUUGCUGGGACGGAUCUGACACUAAGGCACGAAAGCGUAGGGAGCAAACGGGAUUAGAUACCCUAGUAGUC